UUUCUGGUGAAAGCUCCCUUCAUGACUUAUAGAUGGCCACCUUUUUGCUGUGUCAUCACAUGGUAAGGAAAGAGAGACAGCAAACUCUUUCUCUCUUCUUAUUAGGGAACUAAUCAUCAUGAGGUCCACACCCUCAUGACUUCACCUAAACCUAACUGUGUCCCAAAGGCCCCAUUAGCAAAUAAUGGGGCUUUGUGAGUCAGGGCUUCAAGAAAUGAAUUUGGGGGAAGAACACAAUUCAGUCCUUAGUACUAACACAGAGAGACUACAGAAGGCAGUGCAAAACAGUUCUUAACUUGCUUCAUCAAGUUGUUUUUCAAAGUUGGCUUCAGGCAUUCACAUGUAUUAUUUAAUGCCCGCUGCAGUAACUUCAUCAGAAGUCUGGGCACCAUGAGGAGAAGAAUGUGAAAGUAUCUGACAAACUGCAGACCUGAGUAUGUUCUAUGUUCAGGAUUUCGCUAAGCUUCCUGGAUAAAGCUACAAUAUGACAAGUAAUCCUGACUCUGCAACUGAAUCCUCCCUGAUAUACUGCCUCAGCAAAUAAGAAUGCAACCAGUGAUGUGCGAUGUGGCCACGUGGCAGUCACAACUUCCUAUCCAAUUGAGACAGAGAAACUAAAGGGACUCUAUGAAACACUGAUUUUUUUCUCCUUUUCCUGCUUCUAUUCUUGCUAGGACCUACACUCCUACCUCACAUACACCUUAUAGAACAGAUCAUAUAUGUCCUUCUUGUAAAGGUCAAGGAUUUAAUGAUUUCUUUGGAGUCUUCUAAAACAAUAGAUAACCUCUACGGAGUGACUGGACAGAGUCAUCAUGAAUGUUUUCCAAGGCUACUGACUCACCAAGACCCCUCACUCUAGAGUGUAAAUGACUUAAGGAAGACUCCUAAACACUUUUCUUUGUUCCUGGAUACCUGAGAAGAAAUGUGCACCAGAUCACAGUCCUCAAUAAAAACUUCAGGUCCCAGGCAAAGACCAGAUUCUUUCUUCUUUCCUUUCUGAGUUUCCUGGACACUCUGUCCAUAUCGAUAUUCUCUGUAUAUCUUUAAUAAAUUCUGU